AGCCUGACCACUCUCUCUGAGCAGUAAUCAAUGCUGCAUUGUACCCUCAGGAUUGGAAGCCAUGAGAAAAACCUUCCUCACAGCCUAACCAAGAUGGUUUCCACUCAAGUGGAUUCCCUCUUACGCUUUAAAAAGGGGACUUAAUUGGAGAAAGAAAGCAUCAUUGAGCUACCAGUCAACUCUUUGGAUUUCUCCUUUACUGAAAUACAUGUGGUUUCCACCUGAGAAAAUAUCAACUCUGAUGGAGAGGAAGCUCAUCUAUUCCUGUCUACACACGAGAGAGAAGAGACUCUGAAUUGACCAAGGAGCAGAGCAAUGGCCACUGCUGGGAAGGCAAAGGAAAGAUACAAUUGUAUCCUGUGGCUAGUGAAUGAAUGUUCAAUCAAUGUGCUUCUGUGUUGUGCGAUCCUCCAUUUUGGUACUUCUGAAGACUCACAGUUAAAAAGUAGGCUUCACUACAUUCCAGCCUGGGCAACAGAACAAGACUUCAUCUCAAAACAAAACAAAAAACAAAAACAAAAACAACCUCUGCCUUCAAAAAAAAAAACAAAACAACAACAACGACAAAAACAGGCAUCAAAUAAACAGACUUAUUUUUAGGGAUAAUGCUUAAAUAAACUGGGAAUCUAGACCAUCGGAGAAAAGCCCUCUUUGAUGAAAAUGUUUUUCUAUUCCAAACUCUUAUUUCUGAUCACAGAAUUAAAUUUACAGAAUUAAAUUCAACAAAGAAAUAAAUUUAUAUAAAGAGUACAACUUAUAAUAAUUUUUCAAAAACAUUAUAUACUUCAAGACUGAAAGAAACUUAAGGAAUUCAAAAUUAAAUAUUAAUGCUAAAUGGAACAAUGGAAGCAAAAAAUGAUCACAGGGAUCCAAAGAUUAAGAAGAUUCAAAAAAUGAGACAAACCAGGUGUUCUUCUAUGGAAUAGGCAGGUGGGAAUGGAAGUUUCUGAAAUAGCUCAGCAAAAUGUCAUACUGUUAUGUAGGUAAUCUAUAUUAAUUUAUGAUAUUUUUAACUUUUUAUUUCUUAACUAAUUCCCUUUUCCCACCUCAGGCCUGUUACUAGUGCACUGAUGACUUGGUACCAAUGCAUUGCCAUAAUAUAUAAUAAAUAACAUUAUAUAAAAUUGAGUCAGC
rnacentral:lncRNA from 10 species